CAGUCGCCGCGGGAACACGUAGGUGGCAAGCGUUGUCCGGAUUUAUUGGGCGUAAAGCGAGCGCAGGCGGUUCCUUAAGUCUGAUGUGAAAGCCCACGGCUCAACCGUGGAAGGUCAUUGGAAACUGGGGAACUUGAGUGCAGAAGAGGAGAGUGGAGUUCCAUGUGUAGCGGUGAAAUGCGUAGAUAUAUGGAGGAACACCAGUGGCGAAGGCGACUCUCUGGUCUGUAACUGACGCUGAGGCUCGAAAGCGUGGGGAGCAAACAGGAUUAGAUACCCGAGUAGUCCCUGUCUCUUAUAC
rnacentral:rRNA from 1 species